UGUUUUGCAAAAGGAGCAUUGACCCCUGAGACACUUUCUUGGAAAUUGGAUUGCAAAUGGAGAACGCAAUGUGAAGUGGCCCCUUUGAUCUUAGCUUGCCAAGGGACAGCGACCUUUACAUUCUCCUCAUAGUUUCUUGUGCAAUGCGGGAACUUUUGCCAGCACCACCUUUCCUCAUUGUCUCCUCUCUGGUCUGGCUGGGGCUCCUGCUGCAUUGGGGGAUUAUAAAAACCACCUGGCUGGAGGCUGGAGGGCACAGUGACCUGCCUAGCCAUGAGGCCUGGUGCUCUCAUCUUCCUCCUCGUGGGGCUCCUCUCUCUCUGUGCCGUGGUGCCCUCUGCCUCUGGCCAAGGGAAGCCAGGAUACUGCCCCCCACGAGAAGGCUUUGGACUAUGUGUGGAGGAAUGUUCUGGAGAUGAUUCAUGUCCUGGAAAGAAGAAGUGCUGCAGCAACAACUGUGGCCACACUUGCCAAACUCCACUAAAAGAAAGACCUGGAAGCUGCCCUUUCUUUCCUGCAGUAGUGAGGCCACCUUGCAUAAAGGAAUGCCGUAAAGAUGAUGAUUGUCCUUUCCCCCAGAAAUGCUGUUCAAUCAUGUGCUCCAGGGUCUGCAUAAAUCCAGGUAAGAGGCUGA